rnacentral:lncRNA from 1 species
GAGCGAUCCCGGAAGGAGCCGAAGCGACAAUGCGGGGGAAGAGGUGAGCGAGGGGCGGGCCGCGGGAGGAUGGGGAAAUGGGGCGCGCGCAAGGGGUGAGGGGUGAUGGUGCAGUGAGGUCACUGCCUACGCCCUGGCGGUAGAGACGCUCCCGCCUCACCUCCCUCCCCGCAGCUUGCGCCCCGCCACCGCCCGCCCUGCGGACAGUCGUCUGCAUCGCACCACUCCGCCCUGGGAGCUCUUCCAGGACUGCGGAGAAGGGCGGGGCGGGGGUAUCGCUGCAGUCUGGCUGGGGAUGCUGCGCGCCCCGGCCGGAAAAACGCCCAGUCCCAAAGGGUGAGAUCACCCGAGUGCGUCUCUUCCUGCUCACUUUCCCGAGGAGGAGGCUGGCGCUGGGGUCCCAAGUCAGCCUAAUUCGGUGGGGGCUGGGGUCAAGAAGACGCGGAUGAUUUGGGGCCCCGGGUUUGAGGAGGUGGUGAGAGGAAAAGGCCAAAUCCGAA